rnacentral:rRNA from 1 species
GACGUAGGUGGCGAACGUUAUCCGGAAUUAUUGGGCGUAAAGGGUGCGUAGGCGGCAUGAUAAGUUAUUGGCGGUAAAUCGAGGCUCAACCUCGUGGAAACUGAUAAUACUGUCUUGCUUGAGUGCAGAAGAGGUUAACGGAACUCCAUGUGGAGCGGUAAAAUGUGUAGAUAUAUGGAAGAACAUCAAUAACGGCGAAGGCAGUUAACUAUUCUGUUACUGACGUUGAGGCACGAAAGCGUGGGGAGCGAUCCGG